rnacentral:rRNA from 1 species
CAUAGCGACUAUCGUGGCAUAUCAAUAAGCGGAGGAAAAGAAACUAACAAGGAUUCCCUUAGUAACGGCGAGUGAAGCGGGAAGAGCUCAAAUUUGAAAUCUUCAAGGUUCUACCUUGACGAAUUGUAGUUUAUAGAAGUGUUUUCUGUUAGUGGAGUGGCAAAAGUUCUUUGGAAUAGGACAUCAUAGAGGGUGAGAAUCCCGUCUUUGGUCAUUCCUCCUAGCGUUGUGAUACACUUUCAACGAGUCGGAUUGUUUGGGAAUGCAGUCCAAAAUGGGUGGUAAAUUUCAUCUAAAGCUAAAUAUUGGCGAGAGACCGAUAGCGAACAAGUACCGUGAGGGAAAGAUGAAAAGAACAUUGAAAAGAGAGUUAAACAGUACGUGAAAUUGUCAAAAGGGAAGCGUUUGACACCAGUGUUGUUUUCUCGAAAAUCAAUUAUAAAUGCCGGAUGUUAAGUUGUAUUGACUUUAUCAGGCUUUCUGCUACGUUUUUCUAUGUCUUUGUGAAUGCACUUUUCGGUUAACAAGUCAACAUCAAUUUCUUUUGUUGUAAAAGAGUCAUUGGAAGGUGGCCUUCAUUUCGUGAAAGAGUGUUUAUAGCCUUUGACUUCUGCAAUCGGAGAGAUUGAGGUCUGCAGCGUAGAUCCUUCGGGGUUAGAUACAUUUGUGCUAAGUUAUAGUUCUUUCAUAGACAACUUGUUGACUAUAAUUAAUCAUGUAACUUACUCGCUUAUGCUAUUUUACCUACGCUUAGGAUGUUGAUAGUCACAGCGUGUAC